UACGAAGGGGGCUAGCGUUGUUCGGAAUUACUGGGCGUAAAGCGCGCGCAGGCGGUUCUCCAAGUCAGUGGUGAAAGCCCAGAGCUCAACUCUGGAAUUGCCUUUGAGACUGAGUGGCUUGAGUACGAGAGAGGUGAGUGGAAUUCCCAGUGUAGAGGUGAAAUUCGUAGAUAUUGGGAAGAACACUGGUGGCGAAGGCGGCUCACUGGCUCGUAACUGACGCUCAUGCACGACAGCGUGGGGAUCAAACAGG
rnacentral:rRNA from 1 species